rnacentral:rRNA from 1 species
GACGAACGCUGGCGGCGUGCUUAACACAUGCAAGUCGAACGGACUACUUUGCUUCGGUAAGGUGGUUAGUGGCGAACGGGUGAGUAACGCGUAGACAACCUACCUCUUAGAUGGGGACAACACCGCGAAAGCGGUGCUAAUACCGAAUGAAGUGACUUUCCUGCAUGGGAGAGAUACUAAAGGUGGCCGCUAUUGAUAAGCUACCACUGAAAGAUGGGACUGCGUCUGACUAGCGAGUUGGCGGGGUAACGGCCCACCAAGGGGACGAUCAGUAGCCGGUCUGAGAGGAUGAACGGCCACAUUGGGACUGAGACACGGCCCAAACUCCUACGGGAGGCAGCAGUGGGGAAUCUUCCGCAAUGGACGAAAGUCUGACGGAGCAACGCCGCGUGAGUGAAGAAGAUUUUCGGAUCGUAAAGCUCUGUUGUUUGAGACGAAUGUGCCUGUUUCGAAUAGGGAUAGGUAAUGACGGUAUUAAACGAGAAAGCCACGGCUAACUACGUGCCAGCCGCCGCGGUAA